rnacentral:lncRNA from 1 species
AAUUCCCCAUCCUGGAGGACUUGGAAAGCAGGGUUUAACACUACGACUGUUGCCAUGUUUCUCCCUUUGAGAAAAGAAUGAAAGGACAAGAAAGAAUUCUUUCUAGCUUUCUAUCCCAAGUGACCUUGGUUAGUUACAUGGUAGUGUUGCCUCAGGACAAUGGAUCAUUCAUCUCCCUGACUCCCAGGUCCAACAGGGGACACAGAAGAGACAGAUGCCUUGCCUGCGUUCACCUGGAGAAAGUUUGUUUAGAUGACAGAAUAACCCUGGGUAUAUUCCAGCUCAGCAAGCUUGAAAUGACUCUGGGGACUUGGCCUGGCCAAAGCACAGUUCUGAAAUCUUUUCUUUGUUGUCGAAUUGUUAGAGUUUUAACAAUGAAGCUAAAGGGGUUGCUUUUAGUGAGAGGUAGGAGAAUAAAACUUCACAGGGGCACAGCAAUUAGCGUGUGGACUAGAUCCCUAUGACGGAGAAAAACCUGCAGCAUUUUGUAAGAUGAUUUAUUAGACAUGGGUAGAAUUUGCUAGAAACCUACCAGGAGCAAAUCAUCUGGGAAGGAAUUAAUGAUCCAAACAAAACACUUGAUAAUGCAAUUAGAACUUGAGGAAACGUAGGGGUUUUUCAGAGAGAGAGAGGGGAGUUCAUGUACAUGACUUUGAUUAUGUCAAAUGUAAGGCUGGAAAAAGGAUGUUAACAAGUUUUUAAAGAGUAAAGUUAUCAGAGGGUACAAGGAGAUGACGGGGGUGACAUUUAUAGUUCUGAUGCAUCAGUGUAGUUAUCAAGUGUGCCCAGCUGGGUGGAAAUGCACUUGCAGCUUUGUCUCAGCAAAAUGGUGUGUGGGUCUGAGAAACAGAAAUGAGCAUGCUGGAGGCAAAAAUACGGAUCCCCUGCACACGCAACGGCAGAGAACAGCCACCAGGAGAACGCGGUGUUUUUCUUUAGUUGCUUUAGGCAACACUAAGUUUCCCCCUGCUUUUGUUUGGGUCAGGGAUUUUUUUUCCUUUAAAUCUUUUCUCAGUUGAGUUUAAAACUGUGAGUAUGAAGCUCUCUAAGCUUUUCUUUGACCUCGUUUCAUCGUGCCUUACAGAUGAGCUCAUUGAAAAACGUGUUUUGCAGCGGUACCAUCCGCUGAGUAUGUCCAGAGGACAUUUCUGGCCAUAUACGUGUCUUAAUUGCUAUCGCAGGCUUGGCAUAUCAACUAUAUCUGGGUCUAACAUAGGCUAUCUUUUGUUGAUAUAAACAUAUAUGUUUUUAAAUGUGUAAUUUGAAAAUAUGUUCCCUUCAUCAGCUUUUUAGUUUGGAGGGGGAUGUGGUUAACAUUUUUAAUGACUUUCCAAAACAUUUCUUCUUUAAAAUAUACAUUGCAGAGUCAUACACCACCAUCCACACAGAGCUUUCAUACUUUCCUAAGUGUUUUCACUUGCUUUAGCUCCAGGAAUAUGUGUCAAACUUGGGAUAGCCCCUUAGAAACAUGGCCCUCUCUGGAUACGAGACAGUGUAGGACACAGAUGCACAUUAAAGUAUUAUCAGUGAAAUGCUUUUCCUAGAAAUCCAUGACUCCUUCUGUCUUGGAGACUAUGCCUGGCUGACACUGACUGCUCCAUAUUGAGAUGACUCAGGAAGCCCAGCCUGGCCAUCGUAACUGGGUCCCAUCCUCUGUUUUGUUCCCCUUGCACUUGGCACUGGCCACCCCAAGUGCUGGCUGCGCUGGUGCAUUUUCAUCUGUGUGAUAAAACUUGGUGGAUGUUUUCCUCCAUCUAAGACCAGGACCUUGUUAGUUGGACCACUGCAGUCCUGCCAGUGGAUGCCCCUACUUGGCACACUGGAGGUGUCCAAUAAAUACCCUACUGAACAAAUACUGAAUCUGAGAAUUUUCCCUAAAAGUACUGCAUAUUUCCACCACCAUAUAUUGUUUUUAAGAAGCUUUGGCUUUACAUACUUCUGUUGAAACCCUUAUUCUCCACUGUUCCUUUCAAGAAAAUGAUGUAGCACCAAUGAUCUCUGAAGAUGUCCACAUAAGUUGACCUUUCUGGAUCUAUUCCCAUCAUUUUAACUGUCCCCCAAGAGACUUUCAACCCAUAAAGAUGACCCUCUUUGACCCAAUUUUGGAAGCCUGGCUGCCCCCACCUUCUCUAGAAAUGCUGGCUUUUUCCUUCAACCCCUAGAUUGGCCUAUUAGACAAUAGAGUCAUCUCCCCAUAUCCAUGAGAUAUUGGCUCCAGUAUCUUCCCAAAUCCAUGAAUUCUCAAGUUCCUGAUAUAAAAUGGCACACAGAGUAUUUGCAUCCUCCCAUAUAGUUUAAAUCACAUGGCCAUAUACUUGUCCUAAUUGCUAUUGUAGGCUUGGCAUACCAACUACAUCCUCCCAUAUACUUUACAUCACCUCUAGAUUAUUUAUAAUACCUAAUACAAUGCCUACAUCAUGGGAAUUCAACAUAGUACUGGCAUGUGGCAAAUUCAAGUUUUGCUGUUUGGAACUUUGUGGAAUUAUUUUUUCCAAAUAUUUUUGAUCAUCAGUUGGUUGAAUCCACAGAUGAAGAACCCAUAGAUAUGAAGUGCUGACUAUAUGCCCACAUAAAGAGCCUACACUGUGCCAUACGGGUUCCAGAUACACUCACACACACAUUAAAGCUCACCUGGACACUCCUAACACCCUAGGAGAAACAGCUCAUAUUCCUGAGCUUCAGAAGAAGAGUUUAAGGUUCAGAGAGGCCCAGAGACUCUUCCGGGGUCACUCAAUGGCAGAGCCAUAAAAAGAACCCAAGCCUUCCCCUUUUACAACUGAGGCUCUGAGGGAGAGGGAGGUCCUCUGAAGUAGGACAUGAACACUGUGAGCAAGUGGCUAUUUUAACCUGUCCCUCAGCACAGCAUAUGACCCGGAGAACAUAGUAGGCACUCACUAAAUGCUGCCUUUAAGACAAUCAGGUGGUUCUAGACUGUGGUAACUUGCAAAUGGAAUCCUUCUCCUGCUUUAACAAAACAGGAUGAACUUCCACUUGAGCAAGAUAUAAGAUAUCACCUUGAUACCUCAAUUUAACUGCUAAAGCUACAAAACUACUUCAAUUUUUUUUGAGACAGAGUCUUGCUCUGUUGCCAGGCUGGAGUGCAGUGGCAUGAUCUCGGCUCACUGCAACCUCCGCCUCCCAGGUUCAAGCGAUUCUCCUGCCUCAGCCUCCCAAGUAGCUGGGACUACAGGUGUGUGCCACCACGACCAGCUCUUUUUUUGUAUUUUUAAUAGAAACGGGGUUUCACCAUGUUGGCCAGGAUGGUCUCGAUCCCCUGACCUCGUGAUCUCCCCGCCUCAGCCUCCCAAAGUGCUGGGAUUACAGGCGUGAGCCACCGUGCCUGGUCAAGUACUUCCAUUUUACAGAGGAGAAAACUGGGCGGAGUUUCUUGUUUGGGUCUUUAUAUGAUGUUUCUGCAGUAGAACCACAUUCCUUUAGAGCCUUUACCCCACAUUGUAAUUAUAUUCUCAGCAGUGUAGUAUUUAACUUCUGACCCCAUCUCUCUCUAGAAUGUAAGCCCCUUGAGGGCAGGGACUUUUCUUUCCAUUGUACUACACUGGAACAUUCCUCCAGAACACUAGAGGGAGAUGCCCACUAAUGUCUUUUAAUGGAAUGAGUGACAGGAUGAGUGAGGGAGCCUGCCCAAAGUCACUGGAGUCAGACAGUCCUGUGUUAUGAUCUUGUCUCUGCAACUUACCAGCUGUGUGACUCCAGGCUGCUUUGUCAACUACUUUAACCCUCAGCUGUCUCAUCUGUGAAAUGGAAAUAAUAACUGUAUCUAUACUUUUAAGGGGCUGUGUGAGAAAUACAUGAGCUUUUGGAUAUAACUCAUGCAUUUAAAGCCUGUGCAGGAUAAGUAACACUCAAAAGCUAUUUAUCUUUGUUCUUAUGAGGACAGGAAAAAAAAUCACUGAAAUAUUAAUUUGGGUUGGCACUUGUUAAUUCAAGGAUAAAAAAUACAACACUGGAACUGUGUCCUCCCUCCCCUGGCUUUCUUAACCAUGGUUGGAUAUGGAGUAGAGUUGGUUCUGAGACUUCAUGGACAACUUUGAGAAAAAGGAUGCAUGGACCCUUUUGGUCAAUUUCUCAGUGGUGGUUGACUCCCUCCCUUUCCUCUUUGGGGAACAGCCACUACUUCCUGUUCCAAUCCAUGGCGCAACUUGGAACAAAAAGUUCAAGUUAAUUUAACUGGGGAGGGAGAGAUUAGACAGACAUGCUAAACAACUCAAACUUUAAAUACUGGGAAGUUUCCAGGUACUCAGUCCAAUGCUAUAAAUCUUGGAUUUAGAAAGUCGCCAGAGAGAGAAAUAAAAAGGAGAAAAUACCAAGCAAAGGAAACAGAGGUAUCUCUUAUUAAGGAAUUAGUCCAGAUAGGAACUUAUCAAUGGAGGCAGUUAGCUGCAACAUAUAGUAACUAGUAUAUAAAAUGUACAGUAUGUGCAUUACAAGUUAUUCCUGCCAGUCAUCCCCUAACUAGAUAAAAGGAACUUAAUUUUGAAUAUAAAAUACCAUUGUGAUUCUGAGGGGAAAUAGCUGCUGCUUUUCAUCUCCCGCUGCUAACUGAAAUAUUGUUAUGAAGGAUAGUAAUUUCUCUGUUUUGAGACUCCCAAAAUAGAAAACAGCUGCUUGAUAAAGGAAAAUUGGUUCAUAUUCUUUAGAGUUUUACUUUAUUAAAGUGCAUGUCACUUCUAAUGUUAUGUGCCACAACCACUGACACUUUUGGGCAAGGGAGGGGAAUAAUUGUCAUGUGAGGCAAAACAGGAAUGUGUCUGUGUUAUGGUAAACUGCUUAACGCACUGGGAGAAAACUGUUAUUCUCCCAGAUGUCUAACAAAUUACCUCUGUUUUCACUGGUUUAGUGCUGUGAAUAGUAAGCAUUUGUUUGCCGUAUUUGGUUCAUGUGUUGUUUGUUCACAAAAAAAGAUAAACUUUUUGCUUAAGAUUUAUUUAGCUAGAAACAUGUAAACUUAGGAAAUGUGUUUAUAAAAACAUUAGUUCUAACUGUAGUCUUACAGAUGUGUCUUCUUUUACAACAAAUGUUACAGUUUGAGAAAAUCUUUUUACAGAUGAAGAAUGCUUUAUAUAUAUAUUUUUAAAAGUGGCUUUUUGUACUUUUUGUAAAGAUGUUUACAGCCAGCCCACUCCGUCUUCCCCUUAUUAGUAUUUCUGAUUUACUUUCCUUCAGAAUUUGGGGUAGUGGAGGCUUUUAAUAAAAGAUAUUUAUUCUUGGGUCUCCUCUU